UACGGGAGGCAGCAGUGGGGAAUAUUGCACAAUGGGCGAAAGCCUGAUGCAGCUAUGCCGCGUGUAUGAAGAAGGCCUUAGGGUUGUAAAGUACUUUCAUCGGGGAGGAAAAAACAAAACUAAUAAUUUUAUUUCUUGACGUUACCCGAAAAAGAAGCACCGGCUAACUCCGUGCCAGCAGCCGCGGUAAUACGGAGGGUGCUAGCGUUAAUCAGAAUUACUGGGCGUAAAGAGCACGUAGGUGGUUUUUUUAAAGUCAGAUGUGAAAUCCCCUGGGCUUAACCUAGGAACUGCAUUUUGAAACUGAAAUACUAGAGUAUCGUAGAGGGAGGUAGAAUUCUAGGUGUAGCGGUGAAAUGCGUAGAUAUCUGGAGGAAUACCUGUGGCGAAAGCGGCCUCCUAAACGAAUACUGACACUGAGGUGCGAAAGCGUGGGGAGCAAACAGGGAUUAGAUA
rnacentral:rRNA from 1 species